GGGUAAGCUAGACUGGCGUGUUAGUCCCGCGUUGUUACCAUAAACGGACUUUAGAUGGAGUCGAAGCUUGAGCCGAGGUAAUGUUCAGGACAAUUCAGUCUUGAUGUGAACUGCGAAGUUCUGUCCUGUAAGAUUACGUUGAGGCGAACCGUGUCAGGUCCGGAAGGAAGCAGCACUAAACUUUGAUGCUAAUGUUUGCAGGGUAGCGGAAUGGAGAACACAGCAAGGUAGCUGGUUGUGUUGAAUGCUAUCCAAGUUUAGGCACGCUUGCCC
rnacentral:SRP_RNA from 1 species